rnacentral:rRNA from 1 species
UACGGGAGGCAGCAGUGGGGAAUAUUGCACAAUGGGCGAAAGCCUGAUGCAGCUAUGCCGCGUGUAUGAAGAAGGCCUUAGGGUUGUAAAGUACUUUCAUCGGGGAGGAAAAACAAAACUAAUAAUUUUAUUUCUUGACGUUACCCGAAAAAGAAGCACCGGCUAACUCCGUGCCAGCAGCCGCGGUAAUACGGAGGGUGCUAGCGUUAAUCAGAAUUACUGGGCGUAAAGAGCACGUAGGUGGUUUUUUUAAGUCUAGAUGUGAAAUCCCUGGGCUUAACCUAGGAACUGCAUUUUGAAACUGAAAUACUAGAGUAUCGUAGAGGGAGGUAGAAUUCUAGGUGUAGCGGUGAAAUGCGUAGAUAUCUGGAGGAAUACCUGUGGCGAAAGCGGCCUCCUAAACGAAUACUGACACUGAGGUGCGAAAGCGUGGGGAGCGAAACAGGGAUUAGAUACC